rnacentral:rRNA from 2 species
UAGGGAAUCUUCCGCAAUGGGCGAAAGCCUGACGGAGCAACGCCGCGUGAGUGAUGAAGGUCUUCGGAUCGUAAAACUCUGUUAUUAGGGAAGAACAAAUGUGUAAGUAACUAUGCACGUCUUGACGGUACCUAUUCAGAAAGCCACGGCUAACUACGUGCCAGCAGCCGCGGUAAUACGUAGGUGGCAAGCGUUAUCCGGAAUUAUUGGGCGUAAAGCGCGCGUAGGCGGUUUUUUAAGUCUGAUGUGAAAGCCCACGGCUCAACCGUGGAGGGUCAUUGGAAACUGGAAAACUUGAGUGCAGAAGAGGAAAGUGGAAUUCCAUGUGUAGCGGUGAAAUGCGCAGAGAUAUGGAGGAACACCAGUGGCGAAGGCGACUUUCUGGUCUGUAACUGACGCUGAUGUGCGAAAGCGUGGGGAUCAAACAGG